rnacentral:lncRNA from 1 species
GUCACUCGAAUAUGUACAUAACAGCAAUUGUAUAUUAACACGCGCAUAAAGCAUUCUAUUGAAUAUUAAAGGCUGUUGGAGUCGACUAUUGUUUGAGGUUAACAGAAGUCUAUGAUUGUGGAAACAAAAGAUGGCAGCCAGUAAAUAUAACUAACUAAACUAUGUCAGAAUUGUUGGUUGGUUUUUAAGGCUGGCUCGUUUAAUGGCUACUCGACCUUGAUGGAAAAUAGUCAGCUAACGAAGUCUUGGUGAAUCAAAUAAGAGGGUAAAUGGGCUGAGGUCAGCAUGAUGGACAGCAGUGUUGAAUUUAUACCCCAAGCCCAAGGUCAAGCCUUAGUUAAGGCCACAAUUUUAGUUGCAGCUAAAUUUAUUAAUUCUCAAAAAUCAACUAUUAUUCAAAUACUCGGAUGGACUAUUAACUGACUUCAGAAUACAUUAUAUACAAUAGGAUUGCUCAACUAUCAUGUUUAAUCACAUCAUGAGCGAAAAGAAAUAGUAGCAGAGAGAUUAGAGAAGAAGAAGAAGCCAAUAAGCAAUAUGAGCUGAACUUCGUAUACUAUACUACAAACUACCAUAAUAACUACGUCUCAAUUCUAAAUUUAUUGGUACCGGCCGCUUAUAUGAAUUCUCACAGUUUCAUGAUAAUUAAAAAAAAAGGCUAAAAGGUUAGCCGGUCAAUAAGAUCUUUGAGAUUGAUGAGCCAACUAAAUUGGUUUGGCUAUUCUUUUCUAUUGAAAAGAAGUCACGUGUUUGCGCGAGUCGCCUUCUUCUAGGCUCCAUUGGACAACAACUUUUAUCCCAAGAAAACUCUCUGCAUCUUAAAAUCCAACAUAGGGAGUUGGAAGAAUGGAUUGUGUUGAAGGGGAUGACGGAGAAUUAGAAUUGUCUUUAGAAAUAACAAUACCAACUGUAUCUACAACCACAGCCACAAACUCUAUCGCCAUUUUCACCAUCUCUAUGCAUAUCUCUAACCUCUGAAUCACCAUUAUCAAGUCUCCGCGUAUUUUUCUUGGUAUAAUAAACAGGCUUUUCUCUUUAUAUAUAUAAGUACAAGAAACUCCUCCAAGUUUUUAGAAAACAAAGAAGCUUUUGUUAAUCUGGCCUUUGGAAAACCCCAAGGGACACAACAAGAAAAUUGGAAUAGUUUCAAACCUUGUGAAUGAGACACUUUGGCAACCUUAUCCAUUUAUUGCAUGGCCAUUAAAAUAAGAAAUUAAUUGACCAUUGUGGCCAUCGCAAGGACACGAGACAAGUGGCCUUUCUUUUAUUGCAUGUAGUAGCCAUACACGCAUCAACGUUUUGGGAUUUCUUAAUAUGUAACUUAAUAUGCCUUUGAUUUGUGAUUAAUUAGGAAUGGGUUCGUUCACUUUGUGGAAUAUUCCAUUAGUUUGAUUUUGCUUACAAGAAUAAUUCCCUACCUAAUCUUAAACUUUAAUCUGCUUGUUGCCAUUAAAUAGUGGGAAAAAUGAUACUGUAUAGUCGUUAUAGAAAUAAUAACCGAAAAUAUAUAUAUAUAUAUAUAUAUAUAUAUAUAUAUAGAUAUAUAUAUGCACUCUUUGUUAAUCUGGCCUUUGGAAAACCCCAAGGGACACAACAAGAAAAUUGGAAUAGUUUCAAACCUUGUGAAUG